UACGUAGGGUCCGAGCGUUGUCCGGAAUUAUUGGGCGUAAAGGGCUCGUAGGCGGUUCGUCGCGUCGGGAGUGAAAACUCGGAGCUCAACUCCGAGCCUGCUUCCGAUACGGGCAGACUAGAGGUAGGCAGGGGGAGAGCGGAACUCCUGGUGUAGCGGUGGAAUGCGCAGAUAUCGGAAGGAACACCAGUGGCGAAAGCGGCUUCCUGGUCCAGCACCGACGUCAGGCACGAAAGCGUGGGGAGCAAACAGG
rnacentral:rRNA from 1 species